AGAGUUUGAUCAUGGCUCAGGACGAACGCUGGCGGCGUGCCUAACACAUGCAAGUCGAACGCGCGCGAUUCGGUAGCAAUACCGAUGAAGAGUGAGUGGCGAACGGGUGAGUAGCACGUGAGCAACCUGCCCCGAAGACUGGGACAACACCGGGAAACCGGUGCUAAUACCGGAUACCCCUAUCGGAUCGCAUGAUCUGA
rnacentral:rRNA from 1 species